GGCGUUGCUUCUUCUCUAACCUGUAGGGAUGAUAAGAACAGAGGAAUUUACCAGUGACGUGAUGGAAAAGCGAAAACCCUUUGAAGAAGAAAAAGAUCAGACAAAAUGAAAAUUAGGGUUUCCUUUUUCUUCUCUGCGUCGGUGCUGGCUUCGUCUUUUGCUUGUACGGCGUCGUCUCUCCCCAAUGACUAUGAGAUAUAGAACGGCGUCGUUACAUUAGAGUGGGGCCAGUGGGCCAAUUAUGUGUAAUUUCCUUUUCUUUUUUUUUGUUUGGUAAGAACUUCCAAUUUGAUACAAAGAUACCUGCCCCGCAAAUUUGGAAAGGCCC